rnacentral:rRNA from 1 species
GACGAACGCUGGCGGCGUGCUUAAUACAUGCAAGUAGAACGCACAGUUUAUACCGUAGCUUGCUACACCAUAGACUGUGAGUUGCGAACGGGUGAGUAACGCGUAGGUAACCUGCCUGGUAGCGGGGGAUAACUAUUGGAAACGAUAGCUAAUACCGCAUAAUAUUAAUUAUUGCAUGAUAAUUAAUUGAAAGGUGCAAUUGCACCACUACCAGAUGGACCUGCGUUGUAUUAGCUAGUAGGUGAGGUAACGGCUCACCUAGGCGACGAUACAUAGCCGACCUGAGAGGGUGAUCGGCCACACUGGGACUGAGACACGGCCCAGACUCCUACGGGAGGCAGCAGUAGGGAAUCUUCGGCAAUGGACGAAAGUCUGACCGAGCAACGCCGCGUGAGUGAAGAAGGUUUUCGGAUCGGAAAGCUCUGUUGUAAGAGAAGAACGGGUGUGAGAGUGGAAAGUUCACACUGUGACGGUAUCUUACCAGAAAGGGACGGCUAACUACGUG